GAAAAAUUCCAGGAGCAAGACUUGAGGACUGUCACUCCGUGAGGAUCUGGAGGGGGACUGCCUUCUCAGAAACUUGACGGUGAAGUGCUGAUUGUAAUUUUAGAAGGACAGCUAAUUGGCUUUUUUAAAAGAUCGCCCAGGGCCUUGGCCUAAGAGCUGGAAGCUGUUCGGAGUGAUAGAGAAGUCAUGGAAGCAGCUGAGAAGGAGGAAAUCAGUGUCAAAGAUGAAGCUGUGGAUAAAAACAUUUUCAGAGACUGCAACAGGAUCGCAUUUUACAGGCGUCAGAAACAGUGGCUUUCCAAGAAGUCCACCUAUCAGGUAUUACUAGACUCAGUCACGACAGUUGAAGACAGCACCAGGUUCCAAAUCAUCAAUGAAGCAAGCAAGGUUCCUCUCUUGGCUGAAAUUUAUGGUAUAGAAGGAAACAUUUUCAGGCUUAAAAUUAAUGAAGAGAGUCCCCUAAAACCCAGGUAUGAAGUUCCUGAUGUCCUCACAAGCAAGCCAAGCACUGUAAGACUGAUUCCAUGCUCAGGGGACACAGGCAGUCUGAUAUUGGCAGAUGAAAAAGGAGACCUCAGGUGUCAUAUCACAGCAAACCCAUUCAAGGUAGACUUGGUGUCUGAAGAAGAGGUUGUGAUGAGCAUAAAUUCCCUGGGCCAAUUAUACUUUGAGCAUCUACAGAUUCUUCACAAACAAAGAACUGCUAAAGAAAACGAGGAGGAGGCAUCAGUGGACACCUCUCAGGAAAAUCAAGAGGAUCUGGGCCUUUGGGAAGAGAAAUUUGGAAAAUUUGUGGAUAUCAAAGCUAAUGGCCCUUCUUCCGUUGGUUUGGAUUUCUCCUUGCAUGAAUUUGAGCAUCUGUAUGGGAUCCCACAACAUGCAGAAUCACACCGACUUAAAAAUACUAGGGAUGGAGAUGCUUACCGUCUUUAUAACCUGGAUGUCUAUGGAUACCAAAUAUAUGAUAAAAUGGGCAUUUAUGGUUCAGUACCUUAUCUCCUGGCUCACAAACUGGGCAGAACUAUAGGUAUUUUCUGGCUGAAUGCCUCAGAAACACUGGUGGAGAUCAAUACAGAGCCUGCAGUAGAGUACACACUGACCCAGAUGGGCCCAGUUGCUGCUAAACAAAAGGUCAGAUCUCGAACUCAUGUGCACUGGAUGUCAGAAAGUGGAAUCAUUGAUGUUUUUCUGCUGACAGGACCUACACCUUCUGAUGUCUUCAGACAGUACUCACACCUUACAGGCACACAAGCCAUGCCCCCUCUUUUCUCUUUGGGUUACCACCAGUGCCGCUGGAAUUAUGAAGAUGAGCAGGAUGUAAAAGCAGUGGAUGCAGGGUUUGAUGAGCAUGACAUUCCUUAUGAUGCCAUGUGGCUGGACAUAGAGCACACUGAGGGCAAGAGGUACUUCACCUGGGACCAAAAAAGAUUCCCAAACCCCAAGAAGAUGCAAGAGCUGCUCAGGAGCAAAAAGCGUAAGCUUGUGGUCAUCAGUGAUCCCCACAUCAAGAUUGAUCCUGACUACUCAGUAUAUGUGAAGGCCAAAGAUCAGGGCUUCUUUGUGAGGAAUCAGGAAGGGGAAGACUUUGAAGGGGUGUGCUGGCCUGGUCUCUCCUCUUACCUGGAUUUCACCAAUCCCAAGGUCAGAGGGUGGUAUUCAAGUCUUUUUGCUUUCCCUGUGUAUCAGGGAUCUACGGACAUCCUCUUCCUUUGGAAUGACAUGAAUGAGCCCUCUGUCUUUAGAGGGCCAGAACAAACCAUGCAGAAGAAUGCCAUUCAUCAUGGCAAUUGGGAGCACAGAGAACUCCACAACAUCUACGGUUUUUAUCACCAAAUGGCUACUGCAGAAGGACUGAUACAACGAUCUAAAGGGAAGGAGAGACCCUUUGUUCUUACACGUUCUUUCUUUGCUGGAUCACAAAAGUAUGGUGCCGUGUGGACAGGUGACAACACAGCAGAAUGGAGCUACCUGAAAAUUUCUAUCCCAAUGUUACUCACUCUCAGCAUUACUGGGAUCUCUUUUUGUGGAGCUGACAUAGGUGGGUUCAUUGGGAAUCCAGAGACAGAGCUGCUAGUGCGUUGGUACCAGGCUGGAGCCUACCAGCCUUUCUUCCGUGGCCAUGCUACUAUGAACACCAAGCGGCGGGAGCCCUGGCUCUUUGGGGAGGAAUACACCCGGCUCAUCCGAGAAGCCAUCAGAGAGCGCUAUGGCCUCCUGCCAUAUUGGUAUUCUCUGUUCUACCAUGCACAUGUGGCUUCCCAACCUGUUAUGAGGCCUCUGUGGGUAGAGUUCCCCAAUGAACUAAAGACUUUUGAUAUGGAAGAUGAAUACAUGCUGGGGAGUGCAUUGUUGGUUCAUCCAGUCACAGAACCAAAAGCCACCAUAGUUGAUGUGUUUCUGCCAGGAUCGAAUGAGGUCUGGUAUGACUGUAAGACAUUUGCUUGUUGGGAAGGAGGGUGUACUGUAAAGAUUCCAGUAGCCUUGGACACUAUACCAGUGUUUCAGCGAGGUGGAAGUGUGGUACCAAUAAAGACAACUGUAGGAAAAUCCACAGGCUGGAUGACUGAAUCUUCCUAUGGACUCCGGGUUGCUCUAAGCACUAAGGGUUCUUCAGUGGGUGAGUUAUAUCUUGAUGAUGGCCAUUCAUUCCAGUACCUCCACCAGCAGCAAUUUUUGCACAGGAAGUUUUCAUUCUGUUCCAGUGUUUUGAUCAAUAGUUCUGCCGACCAGAGGGGUCAUUAUCCCAGCAAGUGUGUGGUGGAGCAAAUCUUGGUCUUAGGCCUCAGGAAGGAGCCAUCUUCUGUGAUUACCCACUCAUCCGAUGGUAAAGAACAGCCUGUGGCUUUUAUGUAUUGUGCCAAAACAUCCACCCUGAAUCUGAAGAAGCUCUCACUCAACAUUGCCACUGACUGGGAGGUCCACAUCAUAUGACAAAGAACUGCCCUUGGGUUCCUAAAAAAGCUCUAAAAUGAAUACAUAGUAUGUCUUUCCUUCAAGAUGUAAAUGUCAAGGAAUGAGUUGACAAAUCAGUUUAAAAACGGAAACUACCCAACAGAAAAAUUUACUCACAGAUGGUGCUGGCUGAGACAGCUAAGGAAAGAAAGCUCAGUGGGUGUGUGGCCCAAAACAGCUCCUCCGCCUGGAGCAGAUGAGCCGAGACUCUUUGAUUGCACCGGCAAAGCCAAAAGUGUAAGAAAUUUCUCUUUGUGUAGGAAAAUUUCAUUUACCAGAUAUAUAACACAUGUUUAUUAAGGGCCUUCUAUAUGCCUAAACCUGAGAGGGAAAUGGGAACCCAGUUCCCAGCUUCACGGUCUUAUGGGCAAACAGGAAGUUAAAUAAACAGAAACAAUAAACUGUGGGUCUGUGCUGUGAAUUUCAGGGUGGGAUAGAAUGCUGGUUUGGGACCCAAACUUACAACAGUGGGGGAAGGAAACCCUACCUUUGCUGUCUGUGCCAUUGGUGACUUUGAAGGUGGAGGUCCAUCUUUUUAGUACAGGAAGAUAGGCCAGCCUCUGAUUGGAG